CGGGCGACGCGGGGGACGAGGGGGGCGACCGCAAGAGCCCCUGGCAGAAGCGGGAGGAGCGGCCUCUGAUGGUCUUCAAUGUCAAGACAGGGGGGGCUGGCACUGCCCCCCGAGCCAGUGGUGCCUCCAAGCUGCCAUAGGAGCUGGGGGGCUCCCGUCCCCCACCCUCAUCCCCCUUUGGAUUUUAACUGUGUUUCUAAACGUUUUCUACGUGGUGAGGAUGAAGAGGGGUCAUUGGGGCCAGGCUGGCAGAGGGGGGGCCAUGGGGACCCCCCCGGGUGCCAGGCUGGGCAGGGAGCUGCUGCCUGCACCUGCCUGCACGUCCUGCCUGCUCCUUAGAGGCAUUAAUAUAUUAAACACACAAAACCCCCCUGC